AGUGGUGGAAUCACCAUCCCUGGAAGAGUUCGCAAACUGUAGAUGAGGCCCUCAGUGACAUGGUUUAGUGGUGGUCUUGGCAGUCCUGGGUUACCCCAGGUUGAACUUGAUGAUGUUAAAGGUCUUUCCCAACCUAGAAGAUUCUAUGAUUGUAUGAUAGGGGCAGCAGACAGGUAAUAUGAAAGUCAAUCUUUCAUUGCACAUUACAAGAGUAACAGUGACUCUUACAAUGUCUGCCUAAGUUUGUUUUACAGAAGAAUAUAGUUUCGGUAGCAGAAGGGUGUUGGUAAGUGUCUGUCUGCUUUGGAAAUGAGCGUCCUUCCCUUGCUCACAGAAGGCUGUCUACAGUUUGCCCCAGCACGAUGUAGAAGCAGAAAGACAUUAUCCUGUGAGAAAGUUGCUUAUCCAGUUGCCAUCACUUACAGACAGUAAAAGCUAAGCAAAAAAGGAGAAAUACAACUUUUAAGGAUAGUCAGCAGUUAUGUGGAGCUUUUCACCUUAAAAUGCCUUGCACACUCUAGUUUAUAUUUAAACUCAUAUAGCUAGAGUACAUAUGUCCGAGUCUAUCUGUGUGGGUGCCCUGUCCUUUUUUAUGUACUGUACAUAAACAUACAAGGAAGAUAGACAACACUCAGCAGGUCAGUAUAUGUAACAAGAAAGUAAAUGAAGUGUACAUAGCAAUGGUUGGGAAACAGUUGAUCCCCUGCCAUCAGGACUCCUGUGGGAGGGGAUGGAAGGGAAGGACAUUGUCUCACAGCCUCUAGUUGCACUAAAAAAUAGAGUCAGCCUCUCCAUUUAUGUGCUAAGAAAGGCAACUUGAAGAAUGGGGUUGAAAUUACUUUUGAACACCUGCUGAAAGUGUGACUACUUGUGGUAUUAUUGAUAGAGUAUGCAAGUUGGUGACCCGAGUCCUUUCCUACCGUAUUCAAGUUCACAGUUUUCCUCUCUUUGCCUUUAAUGAUUUAGAGGUCGUUUUGGCAGUGUGGAACAGACAUUAAUUCACCUGCUGUCCUGAAGGCCAUUAUGAGAAAAAUCACAAAGUCAGAGCAGUGGCUUGAUUUUUAUGACUGAAGUCUUCUGCAGACAUGAGCCUAUUAUUCAGCUGCAGAGUUGUGUGGCCCUCGAAGCCGAAUUGCAGGGGUGAAGGUCACUGCCUUGCCAGUAAUCACAUUGCUGUUACAUGAAGUUUUAAUCAGCAAAUACUGGGCAAAUAUAGCUCUGGUACUGUACUGUUAAAUAUAAUGGAAUUUGCCCCACAGAUGACUGUAGGUCCUUGUUGUUAAAGCAGCUCUGCCUGUUUACCUUUCAGCUGCAGCUUAAACGUAUGAAAUGUGCCAUAAUCCAGCUUUCCCCACAUCAGAGGCAUGAAGAAACCACUUUCCUGUAGCAUUGCAUAUAAAGAGGUUUUGCCUAUGUGUUGGUCAUUAGCCUGUGAGCUUCCUAAAGCAAAAUUUCCCAUGGGGAUGAAGAGCUGUAAAGCACUUAACGGUAAAGCCACACUUUACUGUUAAUCCCAUUCACAGACCAUCACUUUUCUAGCACUAAGUUUUGGAGCCUUAAUAAUAGCUGAAAUGCUGUUUCAGUCCUUCCUACCCUUGUUUAAGCCCAGUCAAGAAGGGUUCAUGAACAGUUUAUGUCUCUUCUGCCCUUUGGAAAUGUUGGAGAAAUGGUGCAAAACUUGAGACUUGAAACAAGGGCUAAACAUUGACUUUCAUUGACUUCAUCGUCAACCACAGCGAGCUCCCAGGUGUGGCCCUGCCUCUUCUCUACAAGUUCAAACCUUAUCCCCAUGGCAGGCAGCUGCUGCAGCAGGACUGAAGGAGUGUUUUCUCCCUUAUGCGGAGAUAGGAGCUCGCUUGCAGCCGUGUAGCUGAAGAGCGUAUUUGCGCAGCAGAAUAGCUGGUAGCUAUUGUGGUAGAAAUGGGCUCUGUAGUCUGCUCAGCCUUACAGACUUGCUUUUUCCCCUCCAACUACGUGUGGACUCUGUGAACAAGAGCCUUGUGAUGAUGAUGACUUCUGAGUACCUUAUGUGUUGUCUUGGAAUAAAUUUCUAAUUUAUGACUGUGUUGAUUGCCCUGGCUGGAUGGGGAGAAGCCUGGAGCUCCCAAACCCCCACCUCCUCUGCUUUUUCAUCCUCCGAUGUUUUAUUUUCCCAGCAGCCCAGCUGUACUCUCCUCAUACUGUGUGCAUUGUCGGGAUUAUCUUCAGCCAUGUGAACUAUAAACACGGCUCACUGCAGCCCAGCUAACGGAGUGGCAGAGGGCCAAGAAGGAAAGUCGUCCUCUUCGCCUGCAAGGCAUCUGAAAAACAGGCCCAGGAAGGGUCUUUCCCUCACUCUGCUCAGACCUCUGGCACUAUAAUGACAAAGUAAAGCUCCCAAAACAAUAGAGCAGUUGUUUCUCCACGAUGGGAUACCCCCAGGUACUCAUGAUGACCACAAGGAUCCCUUCUUUUUUUUUUUCCCUUUAAUAAGUUAUGAGGGAAAGAAAGAUUUCUCCUUGUUUUCCUUUACACAUAGCAAUGUCCUUCAGCAGACUUUAUUUUCAGAGACUAAAAAGCAGAACUCAGACUGCUUAUUUUCCAAUCACUAUGAAUUUGGGUAACACAGUUCUUCCAUGUCUCAAGUUUAUCACAUGUAAACAUGGGAAGCAAACCCUCCUAUUGGUUUGUAAUGUGUCCUUGUAGCUGUAACGUCCAGAGCUUACUGCUGCAGAGAAGUAUUUUGUUUUACUGAAGUCUACGUGAAGAGUAAGGAUAACACCCACAAAGUUUUGAAAUCACUUAAUAUCCCUGUGGAAAACUAACUCUCUUUAAAAUUAUUGAGUAGUAAAGGACAAAGUGGGAAUUAAGAACAUAAAGAGCUCUCUGUAUCUGUGCCUGUGGUGCUACUGAUAUAACAAGGAGUACCAGGGCUAGUCCCUAAUUAAAACAGAAUAGUUGUCUGAUUAAUGGGCAGCACCAGAUGGCAUCAACCGAGGUGCCUUUUUUAGCUUUACUUAGCCAUUCUUCAAAAAAUACUUAUUUCGGGCUAUGGUGAAAUUCUCUUCCAUGGGUAUCACCUAUAAAUGUAUGCUCCCUUUGCAAAUUCCUCAAGUGCCUAGGAAGUGACAUUCAGAAUAGAGCAGCUUAUCAACCUUAGCAGGAGCUGUCAUUAACACUCAAACCAUAUUUUCACUUCUUUACAUCACAGGCACUUACUUUACAGCUUGGUGGAGGAGAAAGAAGGGCUUCAGCUCCAGCCCUAGUUACUGAUGUGUUGCACUGCCAAGCAGACACUGGAGUCAGCAGUGUCGAAGCAUGUGUGGGAGUCCAAUCUCCAACAACCCCUGGCAUGCAUCUAAACUUCAGACUAGAUUAAAGGUCGAACUUUGCUUCUGUCUUUUUUUGACUUGGAGAGCCAAUGUCCUCAGGCAAGCAAGCUAUUACGUUUUAUUUCAUCAGUUAGUGGGAAGCAGCUGCUUUGCUUAGCAUAAUUAAUGAGGAGGUCAGACAGUAUACAAUAGUGUUAUAUGGAGCACCAAGGCAAGUAAUUGCCCAUAAACCCAGUAUCUUGUAAAAAGGGAGGGGAAAAUCCACCUCCCUCGAAGAAAAAAUUAAGAGCACAGUACUUCCCUUUAGCCAUUGUUGAAGCAUUCCCCCUUCAGGUCCUUCAAGGCCAGAAAAUCAUUUACCAAAAUUAUUCAGGAAGUAAUCCACAACAAUGCUCUCUGUUCUUUACUGUUGCAAAUAUACAUAAGAAAUAUCCAUGUAAAAAUAUACAUGAAAAAUAUUCAGGUAAAUGGAAGGCAAUUGCACAGUGCUGUACUCACCAACCCUCCUGGGGUGUCCAAAGGUAAUUUAAAAGACAUUGCAAGCUGAUGUUCGCAAUAGUUUCCUGUAAGUUCUGUUAUGGAUCACCUUGUUUUCAGCUUUUUUUUUUCCCCUUUGACUGCAGGCAGGUGGGACAAAAGCCAUUGGCGUAUGCUCAUUCGUGAUAAGAUGUCUACACUCUGAAGCCAACCCGGAGAAGAGCAGGAGAUACACUUUCAGAAAUACUGAACAGGCUAACCCAACAGUAGCUCACACUGAGUAAUUCAUUAAGACACUGGGAAUGCAGGGGAAAAUGGCAGGAUAUGUGUUAUCUCUCUCAGGCUAAGUUUCAUUGUCUAGAACAGACUAGACUAUUUCAGUUGGAAGGGACCUCAUCUAGUCCAACUGCCUGACCACUUAAGGACUGACCAAAGGUUAAAGCAUGUUGUUAAGGGCAUUGUCCAAAUGACUCAUCAACACUGACAGGCUUGGGGACCUCUCUAGGAAGCCUGUCCCAGUGUUUGACCACCCACUCUGAGAAAUGCUUCCUAAUGCUUGGUCUGAACCUCCCUAGCAAAGCUUUGAACCGUUGUCUAAUUUGUCUUUGAUCUUUUUUGAUAAAAAUGCAGGGUGGCUUCUGAAGAACCCAAAGGUGGUGAAAUUAAGGGUUCAUGAGUCUGAUUCAUUCCACUGAAAAGGUGAUAUUCAGGUCCAAUGAAAAGCCUCUGGCUCACUACCCUGAGCAUCUUCUCUUUUUACAGCAAUGAUAGACCACCACACUUAAGUAAAGAUGUCCCUUUACUCAAGAAAGCUGUUCCUAUUUUGCUUGUAAAUGUGACUGACCUCAAGGCUGCUCUGCCAGACUUUCUCAUGCUGACUAAUAAUCUGCUUCUGCCAAAGGGUAUUCAACGGAACUGGAGAAUGUUAGGAUCGCAAUAUAUAUUAUGUAGAUUGCAGCAUGUAUGCGAAACUUCAGUAUAGAGCCUUGCUCUGUGUGAAUGCUGUGGACCAAAUGCCAGGCAGUACUUUACUCCAUUUGCAGUUUCACUGGUUUUGGUGAGGAUCUUACCAGUGCAAUAUUAAUCAGUGCAGCUGAAGAGAUCUGGUCCUGU